GGGCUCUGGGAUGGGAUUUUUUCCUGCUUUGUUUUUUGUUUGUUUACAUUGUGCUUUUGCUUUGAUUCAUGUCUUGUCUCCUCUUGUUUUGUCACUACUUGUAUCCCUGCUUGCAUCCUAGCACCUGUUUUGAGUUUUGCCCUGUGAUUAGUUUGCUUAUGUAAACCCUUGUGUAUGGCUUUGUGAAGUACAGUAUACGUUAUGUGUUCUUGGAUCCGCCAUGAUCCAGCAUCUUUCCUUAGCUUUUGACCUCACCUAGCCAAGUAAUUCAAGUAAUUCUCUAUUUUUUGAAUGUGACCAGCCUUUUGCUAUUGGAUUUGUCUUUAGGUUAUUUGUUUGAGUUAAAUAAGAAGCUCACCUGCAUUUGUGUCCUCUCAACCUGAUCUGUCUCUCAGUUUGCUAAGUUACAAUAUUACUUAAUUAGAAACGUUAGUACAGUUGGACACUGUUAGCCACAAUUUUAUCUAUAGCUAUUGUUCUGUUUGAGUGUUAGUUUACUGCCAGACCAGAGUUUUUGGUUGUCAGAUUUUUCUCAUACCAACAGUUGUAAAGUUAUUCUUUGUGUAACAGAUGCACAACAGUAUGGUCCCACCUUGAUUCUCUAAAUAUCCCUCUAAUAAGGUACAUACUGAUUUACACACUUGUGUCCAGCACAUUUAAGCAUGUUCUUUACAUAAAUUAUGGUGUAAAGCGGUCACCUAGGAACUGAUGUCUUGCAAAGCACAAACGAGAAGUAAGAUAUAAGGAACAUUAUAUACAAACUUGUCCAGUAGCAGUGUCAGAUUCACACAGCUACUGCUACGUCUCCGGUCAUUCUCAAGUCCUAUCAGAUUCAUCCUGAUGCUCUGGAUCUGGUCGUAAGUUCUGCAUUUGUAAUGCAACUUCUGCUGCUGUGGAUGGUCCCAAAAAGAAUGUAUACCCAAGAGGAGAAGGCUAUCACAUGCCUCCUCCAAGUCAAGAGAAGCUAGCCAAUGGUGUUUUUGCGAUCUGCUGCUCAGGCUGCAUCAGGGGGUGUUGUAACACACUCUGAGGAAAGCACUAUCCACCCCUUUCCAUAUUCAUGAGCUUACAGACACCCAUAAUUAGGAGAAAGCGUGCACCAUCCCUCCCACACAGACAGCAAAGCCAAUUUUGCUCUCUUGGGAUUUGAACUCAUGAUCUCUGGAUGAGAAAAGAGUGAAUGCUUUUCUGUUAUGCCACUUGGGGUAACACACCAAAUUUCCUUUGAAAAUGUUAGUAAUGUUUGACUUUACUUUUUUACACCUGUACACUGUAACGAUUUACUACCCAUUGCUGCUCAGAAGAAGAUGGGCUCUUUAUUCAGUCUGGUUCCUCUAAGAGUUCCAUCCUCAUGUUGUAGUUGGUUCUAGUCCAGUGAUGAAUGGGGCAGAGGGAGGCUGACUCUGCCAGUGACCUGGCUUUUCUGACUCUUUUGACACUGUGCUGACUUUUCCUAUCCUGGCUUACUUGAAAAACUGCCAAACAACCAAUCUCUAUUACGGGUUAGAGUCAUGUUCCCCCUCCUUCUCUUACCAAGUUAUUAGCUUCCUGUUGGCAUUAGACAUGCAGGAAUCAGUGAAGGCUGAAGAGAUUUUUCAGGUCUGGGAGGCAUUCAGUAUGACAGAGAGAAAACAGAAGACAUACCUGAGUUACUUGAUUCCAUGAUUUCAGCAUCAUCAAGCCUUUAUAGCUUAAACUUUUAUUUUUGGAUUAACCAGAAUUCACACUAAUGAGGACAUUAAUUACAUUUUAAUGAGUAUAUAUUUUUCCAUUAUAUAAUCUAUAAUUAACACAAAAGGGUUGUAAAUUGAAAGUGACCCCAUCAAUUAAAUAUCACAAUUUCACUGAAUAUAUACAUUUGUUUUAUUGUGAUGUAAUCAAGGACAUUUGGAUUCACAUCUAAAUAAAAUGAAGCACCUAUAA